rnacentral:rRNA from 1 species
UACAGGGGGGGCAAGCGUUGUUCGGAAUUACUGGGCGUAAAGGGCUCGUAGGUGGCCAACUAAGUCAGACGUGAAAUCCCUCAGCUUAACUGGGGAACUGCGUCUGAUACUGGAUGGCUUGAGUUUGGGAGAGGGAUGCGGAAUUCCAGGUGUAGCGGUGAAAUGCGUAGAUAUCAGGAGGAACACCGGUGGCGAAGGCGGUUCUCUGGGCAUUACCUGACGCUGAGGAGCGAAAGUGUGGGGAGCGAACAGG